rnacentral:lncRNA from 1 species
CUAGCCCUGGAAGGGCCUCAGGUGUUUCAGACACAGGUACAGCCAGCUCUUGCACAAACCCCUUUCCUGCCAAGCCAGGACUGCAUUUCCAGUCAUGGGCAGGCUUUGCUGCAAAUGAUUACACAGGACUAAACCUAGACAGACCUGAGGAGCAGAAGGCAGAGUCAAGCCAAACCAGAGCCAAGGGGAAGGGAGCCAAGGGGACUUGGCCAUGGGAGCAGACACACAAGCUGCGCCCUGGAGCUGAUCGAGUCCCUCGCAGGAGAGGGCUGGGCAGAGGAACCACGACGGCCAUGCGGAAGCCACACAAGAGCGAUCCAAUGUCUCAUCUCCGCCCUCAAUCAUGGCCUCCGCUGAUGCCAAAGUAAACCCAUUCAGCUUCAGGAGGCUUUUCAGCAAACAAAGCAUAAUUUGUACGACGGAUCUGUGUGUUACAGAGGAUCACGGGCAUUUGAAAUGACACAACUGGAAGCUAAAUCCAACAGCAGGGGAGACCCUUACCAAGGCGAGGUAAGUGGGCUACCCUCGGCCUCCCUUUCCCUGCUGUUGUUUUGGUAGCUGGACAGGGCUAGGGACAGGAAUAUCCUUUCCUUCUGUGGACGGUUUGGGGGUCAUGAGCAAUGCCCUGAGGGAGCCAUUUUCACCAGCCAAGGUAAGAUGGAGCCUCACUUUCCAAUCUUUUCAAUCCUGCCUGCUAAUGACCCUGCCCAUCUCUUUUUUUUUUUUUUUUU